rnacentral:rRNA from 1 species
UAUCUCUGUAGAGUCUGCAUAUCAAUAAGCGGAGGAAAAGAAACUAACUAGGAUUCCCUUAGUAACGGCGAGUGAAGCGGGAAGAGCUCAAAUUUGAAAUCUUCAAGGUUCUACCUUGACGAAUUGUAGUUUAAAGAAGUGUUUUCUGUUGGUAGUUUUGGUAAAAGUUCUUUGGAAUAGGACAUCAUAGAGGGUGAGAAUCCCGUAUUUGACCAUUACUUUCCAGCUUUGUGAUACACUUUCAAAGAGUCGGAUUGUUUGGGAAUGCAGUUCAAAAUGGGUGGUAAAUUUCAUCUAAAGCUAAAUAUUGGCGAGAGACCGAUAGCGAACAAGUACCGUGAGGGAAAGAUGAAAAGAACUUUGAAAAGAGAGUUAAACAGUACGUGAAAUUGUCAAAAGGGAAGCGUUUGACACCAGUGUUGUUUUCUCGAAAAUCAAUUAAAAAAGGCAGGAUUUCGUGUUGUAUUGACUUUAUCAGCUUUCUGCACUCUUUUCUUGUCUUUUUUAAUGCACUUUUCGUUUAACAAGUCAACAUCAAUUUCUUUUGUUGUAAAAGGGUCAUUGGAAGGUGGCUUUCUUUUCGGAGAAAGUGUUUAUAGCCUUUGGCUUCUGCAAUCGGAGAGAUUGAGGUCUGCAGCGUAGAUCCUUCGGGGCUAGAUACAUUAGAUGCUAAGUUAUAGUCCUUUAGUAGACAACUUGUUGACUAUGAUUAAGUCAUGUAGCUUACUCGCUUAUGCCUAUUUUACCUACGCUUAGGAUGUUGACGAUCAGCUGAGCGCG